CCUAAUUUGAUUGUCAGUGGUUUUAAUCUUUUAAUUUUCAAAAAUCACACAGUUUUGAUUUUAUGUUAGAAAGGGGAGCUACAAAAUUUGGAAAUAUUGUCCCCCCUUUUUUUUUUACUUCAGUUAACAUGACCCAUGUUUUGUAAUAAUUAAAACAAAGUCAAUAACAUUUUCGUGGAAAGAAAAUAUUAGUUAAUUUCCUUGCACCCCCUCCCUUUUCCACCAAGUGAAUAAAAAUAUCAGAUCAAAUUGUCAAUGGCUUAAUUUUUUUUGAUUCCUCUCAUAAGUCAAUUGUGUGUGAGUAUUUGUAUAUUUAUAAAUUAUCAUGAAUCAACGUUUUUAUGAGUAACUUCCUUUGGUUGAAUUGUCAUCAUUUCAGACUGAAUAUGAUGAAAGAUUCUUUUCCGGCAAUUGGAAAGUUGCGCCUUUUUGGUAAAAGUUCGGAAAUCAUCGUAUCACUUUAUUAUUUUCAUACGUACUUGGAGAGAUGUUCCGAAAAAGUCCGGGAAAAUAUUACUUCCCUUUAACAAAAGUUCGGGAAAAACAGUCAACUUCCGGGCACGUAAAUUUGAAAUUAGUCAAAAUAGUUAAAAUCUUUUUAUUAUAUGCUGGAGAUGGACUAAAAAUGUUACGAACAAUACCAAUUUGAUAAAUAUCAACGAUGUGUGCGAUCUGACGGCAAGGAAGGCACGUUUUCCCAGAGAAAUCGUUGGGGAAUCCAGGUAGGUCAAUCUAUUUAUUUAUAGAUAGCAGAAAAAUGGCGUCGAGUUAGUUGCCUUUUUGUUUCUUAGUAUGGAUAGUAAAAUUGGGUAUUUUCUCUGGGUCGUUUAAAUCACUCGAAACUAGGUGAGACAUGCACAGAAGUGAUAGAUAUGUAUUAUAAAUAUAAAAAAUUGAAUAUUUUAAUAAAAAAAAAAAAAAAAAAAAAAAAAUCUGUAUCAUAGACCCAAGCGCCUGUGAUC
rnacentral:lncRNA from 1 species